UUGUGAAACGUGCAAGACGUGCAGGCUGUGUGCCACACGCGUACUCGUAAAGUCAACAUUGGGGUCUACACGUCCACAUGGUCUUUAACGUGCUCGCUCGGCCCCGCCCCCUCUGAAGCUAUAGGCCGACAUGCGUUCUUAUAUAUUGUGUAGGAUCACAGUGUUUCUUAGUUUUCUGGCACUUUCACCCCCGGCGGCCUGUCUUCAGGACUUCAUCGUUACACAUCCAUCAGGAGAUUUAUUUCAGUUGUUUGGUGUUCAAAGACGGCAGAGAUGAUCAUCAGACUGGGCAGAUUGACUCCUGGAUAUUUCCGUCUCUUGCAGAGUCAGGUAGCUGGAGAGGUGCAGGCACCAUCAUGUGACCGCUCCACCAACCAAAUAGCCAUGAUGCUGGCCAUCAUGGGUCUCAGUCUGUCCUACUACAGUGCCAAACAGAUGACCGAGAAGGUUCGCAGAGAGCCGGCGCCAUGAAGAGACUCCUGCGCUCUGGUUUGUUGGACCCCCAAACCGAAAGUAAAGUCGGAGCGAGAUGACCACGUGCGGCACACUACAUCUCUUUUGUAUCAGAAACUGGAUUUCCAGCAAUCACUAAACCACGGGAAGCAAAUCUGGGUCUUCUGCUAGGGGUUCUCUCACUUUAGUUUAACUCUCAGUCGGGUCUGGAGGGGGUUGAACUUUGCUUUGUUUGGGUUUGUUGGGUUGAAUCUUGAUAGUUGACUUGGUACGUGAAUGAGGAGGCGAUUCGUACUGCUGUAAAACUUUCUGCACAUUAUUUAAGGAAAUCUGCCGCUACUUUGAGCCAUAAUGCCUUUAAAGGGAACAUCAUCUGGUAUUGUGAUGUACCAAGCAACUAUUGAAAGAAGUGAGCGACUGAAAGGAUUCAUGUUUUUGAAGAAACUUCACACAGACCUACUUG